rfam:Candidatus Parvarchaeum acidophilus ARMAN-5 ARM5contig_4453, whole genome shotgun sequence.
GCCCCGAUAGUCUAGUGGUCUAGGAUAGUGCCCUGUCACGGCAUUGACGCGGGUCCGAAUCCCGCUCGGGGCG